AGUGAACGCUGGCGGUAGGCCUAACACAUGCGAGUCGAACGGCAGCACAGUAAGAGCUUGCUCUUACGGGUGGCGAGUGGCGGACGGGUGAGGAAUACAUCGGAAUCUACUUUUUCGUGGGGGAUAACGUAGGGAAACUUACGCUAAUACCGCAUACGACCUACGGGUGAAAGCAGGGGAUCUUCGGACCUUGCGCGAUUGAAUGAGCCGAUGUCGGAUUAGCUAGUUGGCGGGGUAAAGGCCCACCAAGGCGACGAUCCGUAGCUGGUCUGAGAGGAUGGUCGGCCACACGGGACCUGGGACACGUUCCAGACUCCUACGGGAGGCAGCAGUGGGGAAUAUUGGACAAUGGGCGCAAGCCUGAUCCAGCCAUACCGCGUGGGUGAAGAAGGCCUUCGGGUUGUAAAGCCCUUUGUUGGGAAAGAAAAGCAGCAGGUUAAUACCCCGCUGUUCUGACGGUACCCAAAGAAUAAGCACCGGCUAACUUCGUG
rnacentral:rRNA from 1 species